UCUUCAAAUGUGAAGGAUGACUAUUUCAUCGAGUCACCCUCCCCCUGACAAUCCAAAAGACAACAGAAAUGCCUUCUACUCUGGAAAACAAGAGGUUUCCUUUUGAACCCAGCUGGGGGUAGAGCAGUUUCCUGGGUUUAUAAUGAUUAUCCAUCAUGUGCAGAAUGAGAGGGACAGGCAACUAUAUGAAAGCUAAGACACCAGAAGAUCAUUGAUUUUAUACUCCAAUAAAAUAAGGAAAGGAAUGGAAGAAGUAAUUGUUUUUGCCAAUUUGGAUAUAAAAAUCAGAUCACUGAGGUAAAAGGCAUUAAGGAGUAUAAUGACAUAUGAAUCAUUCAUAUCACUCAGCUUGAAACUUGAAUAGUGGAGCUAAAA